GACGAACGCUGGCGGCGUGCUUAACACAUGCAAGUCGAACGGUGAAGGGAUCAACUUGCUGGUUCUGGAUGAGUGGCGAACGGGUGAGUAACACGUGAGUAACCUGCCCCCUUCUUCUGGAUAACCGCAUGAAAGUGUGGCUAUACGGGGUAAUCUGCGCCUGCUGCAUGGUGGGUGUGGGGAAGAUAUUGGUUUGGUGGGGGGUGGGCUCGCGGGCUUUCAGGUUUGUGGUGGGGGGAUGGCCUACCAAGGGGGGGGCGGGUAGCCGGGCUGAGAGGGUGGACGGUCACACUGGGACUGAGACACGGCCCAGACUCCUACGGGAGGCAGCAGUGGGGAAUAUUGCACAAUGGGCGCAAGCCUGAUGCAGCGACGCCGCGUGAGGGAUGGAGGCCUUCGGGGUGUGAACCUCUUUCGCCAGUGAAGCAGGCCUGUCCCUUGUGGGUGGGUUGACGGUAGCUGGAUAAGAAGCGCCGGCUAACUACGUG
rnacentral:rRNA from 1 species